GUUAUGUACUACCAUAAGUUAUCUUUUCCAAUUUUCGUUUCCCUCCCAAAAGCAACAUACCACACUGUCAACCUCUCAUUGGUCAAAUACCGUAUUUUUCUAUGAUUCCAUUUCCCCUUCUUCUCUUCCUCUCUCCACCACAUUCUUCUUCUCUUUCUUUUCUCUCCUUUUCCGAGCGAUCACGCUUUCUACCACCGUAUCUCCUUUCCGACAGUCACUACUCACCAAGAUUCCAUUUUACUCUAACAAUUUAUUGUUUUCUUGAAGCAAAUAGAUCCAGAUCUAAAACAUUAAUUUGGUUUAACCUUGCAGAUUUAAAGGAAAUCAUACAAAGGAAAAACUGAUGAAGAUGAAAUAGGAUCUACAAGUAUGUGUUAUGGGGUUUUUAUUUUUUCCAUGCUUCUGAUUUUUUGUUUUCUAUGUUCUCUCUCUUUAUCCCUUCAAAUCCUAGCUCUGCCGCCGCCACCUCUUUAGGUUCCAAUUCCAGAUCUAUCAUGUUUUCCAUUUUUUUGCAAAGACGGUUGAUUUUGUACUUCAUAUCUAUUUUAUUUUUAGUAAUUUAUUUUAGAUUAUGAAAUAGCUUUUUAUUUUGAUUUUUGCAGAAUGCUUUUCAAUGAUAUUCCACUACGUUCAAAUCGGGUGAGUUUUGCCGAGUUAGGAUUUUCAACCUUGAUGAGUUUUGCCAAGUUAUGUUUUUUCGUUGAAUCAUGUGAUUUUCAACAUUCUGUAUUGUAUUUGAUUUGCUAGAUCUGAACUUUAGUUUGUUUCUUUAUUAUUAGAAAGAUGUGGAAUAUACCCGUGCUCCGACAUUCGGUAAGACCUCACGAAAACACCUUUUGUGCCACACACUAUUUAAAAGAUUGCUUCCAUUGCCAAAAUAGUAUAGUUCCUUUUCUGCACUUUACAGGACGUAGAGGCUAAUCCUAAAUGUUCAGUGCUUGUGGCUAGAGAUCCUAAAGAUACGACUGAUUUGGUCAGACUGCAAUGUCUCUAACUAAAUUUUCGUAAGGACCUCAAAACAGUGGGCUGCAUAUUCCCCAAACAUGUUUUGAAAUUGUUGAGAAAACAAUUUAUAAAUUUACCUCGGGUUUAACAAAUACAAAUUGAUACAUGUUGUCUCUUAAUUGCCUUUCAUUUGGUAACCAUAUAUAUUUUGAAUGUUAAUAAUUCAAUUUGAAUGUUAGUAAUUUGUUUUCUUUAAAAACUAUUUAAUGCACUUUAAUGGACAAGGUUGCCUUCACUUUUGUUGCAGCUGUUUCUUGCAGGGCUGAUUUGGUAAUGUGCUGUCUGCCGAGUUUGGUUCAGUGUUGGCUGGUUUUCGUUGGAGGGUGUCAUUCUGGGAGGCGUUUCCAGAGUUAAACGACAUCAUCAAUUUCGUGUAGUUACAACUCUGCUAAAAUUCUUAUCUCAGUAACAGAAAUUAUUCUAAUUUUUUCCAAUGUUCAAAUGGCUUCUUCUUUGCCAUUGGUGUCAGCUAUGAAGGAGUGAUACUACAUGCUACAUUUCGGUUGGUCAUAGGCUGAUAAUCGGUUGAUCAAAGAAACAAUGACCCACUUGCUUUUAGGAGAGUUAACUUGCUCUCAUAAGAAAGAUAACUCUUACAAUGAAGAAUGGGACAGGAAAUUAGAGUACAAAAGAUAGCACUGAGGAUUGGGGGUGUCUCAACAAGUUGAAUGUUUCAUGUUUACAAUAUUUAAUUUCAGCUGGGAUCACUUGAUUAGUUUGAAAGCAAGGGUUUCUUUUUUAAUCCUUCUAUUAGUUAAUUAAGUAGAUAUAUUAACCCCCUCAUGCGAAGACUAUGCACAUUAUUUGUAUUUUUUGUUAUACUCCUAUUUUAUUUCAUCUGGCUGAUUAUUAUAAACCUUGCACUACCAGCUUUUGAUUUCAUAGUCUUUCUUAGUGCAAGAUAGAUUUGUUGGCUUUAGUAUAUAUUGUUCAGAUUUUUAUGUUACAAUUUUUAUAUUAAAUAAUAAAUUUAUAGUCUGUUGCCAAUGAUUCAGAAUUAAAGAAUAGUUAAUUUGGUUUAAAUU